rnacentral:lncRNA from 1 species
CGGGGAGGUCCCUGUCCGCGUGCGGCGUGCGCGCUCCACCCCGGGUGCCGCCGCCUGGACUUCUGGCACGUCUGGGCCGGCCUGCCUAGCGACUUGGUGGUGGAACAACUGAGCUAAAUCUCCAGCCUGAAUGGAUUUUUUUCUUCAUUCAUUCAUGCAUCCCUGGAUAAAUAUUACUUAUAGGAUGAGGGUAUUUUUCCCAGGCUGGUGAGAAGCCUACUUUUCUUCUGAAAGUGGAAGAAACACAAGAAUGAAAACAGGGCUGGGAAGGAAGCACAUCUACCCACACCUUGAUGGCUGACACCUUCCUAGGCAGGAUUGAACUCAGGACUUCAUGCUUGUCAGGCAGGCGCUGUGCCAGUCUCUGAGCUACAUCCCUGGCCCCAGGUCCCUGACUACCCUAAGGUGAUCAGCUUUGUUCACCACAUGCUCCUGCCAUGAUGUGCUGCCUUGCCACAAGUUUAAAAGCAAUGACCAUGGACUGAAAUGUCUGAAACCAUGAGCCAUGAAAAGAAAUCUUUCCUCCUUCUAAGUUGUUUGUCUCAGGUAUUUUGUCACAGUAGCUCAAAGCUCACUAAGACAAGAUUUGUGUAGGCAUGUCCCUCGCAAAGCCUUUGUGGAAGCUCAGGGUAAUGUGUACUCUUGUUUAAAAUUGUCAUCCUGGCCAUCAACUCUGGCUGCAGGUUAGAAUUACCUGGGUGCUUAUAGACUACCAAUACCCACCCCACUGGUCCAUUCUAGUUCAGCUGGUCAAAAGAGGUAUCUGGGCAUAAGUAUUUUUUACAUGUUUCCUAGGUGAUUCUAAUGCAUACCCUGAUUUUGGAGCAAUAUUCUGUUGCCAUAGGCUCCACACAGCUCAUGGACACAAUGCUGCUUUGUGCUGUGUUUGUAAUACUUCAUCUAGUCAGAGGCAUCAUCCCUGUGAGGUGAAGUCCAAUUGUAGAUUUUUUUAAAAUGUAGAAAAUAGGUGUCUUUGAUUGGAUGAAAUAUAGUCUUGCUUGCCUGUAAGACUAAUCGUCCCUGAUAGCAACAGUCCUGGCUUCCCUAGCUCUGUGUUCUUCUCAGCCUUCAGUGUUUAGCUGGUGGGCGGGGUUCCCCGAGCACUUGCUGAGUGUGCGCCGGCAUCAGGCUGCUCCAUUACUGCCCGUUCUCUGGACUCUUUUCUCCUCUCUGGUUGGACAGAACCUCAUCCUGAGGAGAAAGUAGAUAGUCAAAAAAUUUUUUUGUGGAUUAAUUGACUGAUUAUGAAAGAAGCUAUAGCCCAGUAUCAAGGAAUCAGAGUCAAGUAGAAACUGGAGAACUUGGUGGUGUCGUUGGCUAUGGAUAGAGGGAAAUGGCCACUGAGCCCAUUCCUGGGCUAUGAGAGGUGACAGAACAUCCUUCACCAACAGAAAG